CAGUAGCCGCGGUAAAACAGAGGGUGCGAGCGUUAAUCGGAUUUACUGGGCGUAAAGCGUGCGUAGGCGGCUUCUUAAGUCGGAUGUGAAAUCCCUGAGCUUAACUUAGGAAUUGCAUUCGAUACUGGGAAGCUAGAGUAUGGGAGAGGAUGGUAGAAUUCCAGGUGUAGCGGUGAAAUGCGUAGAGAUCUGGAGGAAUACCGAUGGCGAAGGCAGCCAUCUGGCCUAAUACUGACGCUGAGGUACGAAAGCAUGGGGAGCAAACAGGAUUAGAGACCCCUGUAGUCCCUGUCUCUUAUAA
rnacentral:rRNA from 1 species